rnacentral:rRNA from 1 species
GGGCCCGCACAAGCGGUGGAGCAUGUGGCUUAAUUCGAGGCAACGCGAAGAACCUUACCUGGUCUUGACAUGCCCGUCAUAGUUUUCCGAAAGGAAUUCGUCGGUUCGGCCGGACGGUGCACAGGUGCUGCAUGGCUGUCGUCAGCUCGUGUCGUGAGAUGUUCGGUUAAGUCCGGCAACGAGCGCAACCCUCGUUCCUAGUUGCCAGCGGGUAAUGCCGGGGGACUCUAGGAAGACAAACCUCGUGUAGAGGUGGGAAGGUGGGGACGACGUCAAGUCAGUAUGGCCCUUACGACCAGGGCUGCACACGUGCUACAAUGCUCGGCACAAUGGGAUGCAACGCCGCGAGGUUGAGCUAAUCCAUAAAACCGAGCCCAGUUCGGAUUGGAGUCUGCAACUCGACUCCAUGAAGUUGGAAUC